GUGAGGAAUAUUGCGCAAUGGAGGCAACUCUGACGCAGCCAUGCCGCGUGCAGGAAGAAGGCGCUACGCGUUGUAAACUGCUUUUAACCGGGAAGAAACCCCAGGACGUGUCCUGGGUUGACGGUACCGGAGGAAUAAGCACCGGCUAACUUCGUGCCAGCAGCCGCGGUAAUACGAAGGGUGCAAGCGUUAUCCGGAUUCAUUGGGUUUAAAGGGUGCGUAGGCGGAGCGUUAAGUCAGUGGUGAAAUCCUGCAGCUUAACUGUAGACUUGCCAUUGAUACUGGCGCUCUUGAGUGCGCUUGAAGUGGGCGGAAUGUGCCAUGUAGCGGUGAAAUGCUUAGAUAUGGCACAGAACACCAAUUGCGAAGGCAGCUCACUAAGGCGAUACUGACGCUGAGGCACGAAAGCGUGGGGAUCGAACAGGAUUAGAUACCCCUGUAGUCC
rnacentral:rRNA from 1 species